rnacentral:rRNA from 1 species
CGGGUGCACUGAUCCGGCCGGGCCUUUCCCUCUGUGGAACCCCAUGGCCUUCACUGGCUGUGCGGGGGAAACAGGACUUUUACUGUGAAAAAAUUAGAGUGCUCCAGGCAGGCCUAUGCUCGAAUACAUUAGCAUGGAAUAAUAGAAUAGGACGCGUGGUUCUAUUUUGUUGGUUUCUAGGACCGCCGUAAUGAUUAAUAGGGACAGUCGGGGGCAUCAGUAUUCAAUUGUCAGAGGUGAAAUUCUUGGAUCUAUUGAAGACUAACUACUGCGAAAGCAUUUGCCAAGGAUGUUUUCAUUGAUAAGGAACGAAAGUUAGGGGAUCGAAGACGAUCAGAUACCGUCGUAGUCUUAACUAUAAACUAUGCCGACUAGGGAUCGGACGAUGUUAUUUCUUGACGCGUUCGGCACCUUUCGAGAAAUCAAAGUGCUUGGGCUCCAGGGGGAGUAUGGUCGCAAGGCUGAAACUUAAAGAAAUUGACGGAAGGGCACCACCAGGAGUGGAACCUGCGGCUUAAUUUGACUCAACACGGGGAAACUCACCAGGUCCAGACACAGUGAGGAUUGACAGAUUGAGAGCUCUUUCUUGAUUCUGUGGGUGGUGGUGCAUGGCCGUUCUUAGUUGGUGGAGUGAUUUGUCUGCUUAAUUGCGAUAACGAACGAGACCUUAACCUGCUAAAUAGCCCGUACUGCUCUGGCAGUUCGCCGGCUUCUUAGAGGGACUAUCGG